rnacentral:piRNA from 1 species
UUGCUACUUAAGCUGUUCAGCAGCUCACUCA